rnacentral:lncRNA from 1 species
UUGGAGCAUGAUUUUGAGACAUCAGUUUGAAUAUUAAAAAGUGAAUUUUACAGGGACAUAAGGUACUGUGAUGAAAAGGAAAUUAUGUCUGACCAUGGGGAUUAUGCUAGUGAAAUAGUCAAGAUUUUCUCUUAGAUCUUUAGCACCUUCAUUCUGCACAUGUUCGAGGAAUGUGCCAAUCUAUUUGGUUAUUUCUUUAUCAUCAAAUAUGAAGUGACGUGCAUUGUCUGCUGCCAUUGAACACAAUAGUUCACGUGCUUCGUUUGGAGUCUGGGGACAGGUAUCUGAAUAUCAUUUGAACAAUGGUGACUGAGGAGUCAUCAAAGAGGCUGUUUAUCACAAUGACCUCCAUUAGUUCUCCUUUGUUCAAAGGCAGCUGGGGUUUGAGUUUACAGAGCACCAUGUUCAGGCAUGUACUUGGGUCUGCAGAUUUCACACGACAUUUUGCUUUUUAAGCUCACUUUGACUUUCAAAUCAAAGACAACUGAGAACACUAGCAGCAUACAAAACAUCAGGUGCACGGUCAGCACACUUUACUGAGAAAUCUGCAAAAAGAACAAGGUUAGGACAUUUGAAAGUAGCUCUCUCCUAUCAUUCCCCUUUCCCCCCAAGUCUAUUUAGUUAGAGGGGUUUUCAAGUAUUCUUUUAGUAGGUGAGUUGAGGACCCAUGACCCCAAAUUUACAAAUGAAGGUAGAAAAUACUGAUAUGGUAUGGAUAGGGGAAGGGAUUUAAAGAAUUACAAAAAAGUAUGUACUAGUCGGAGAAGCAGAGCUGUGGACAAUGUGUGAAUACUGAAAGAUUUUGCCUUGCCAGCU